GCUGUGGGAGCUCAAGUAGCUUGUAAGAGGAGACCRUCCUCCUCUGAAGCAUGCUUGAAAGAAUCAGACACACUCUGCUCUCAAAGCAUCACUUUCCUCCUUGUUUCUUGGCUCAGUGAUAACAGCAGAUAAAGGCAAUCCUGUCAGCCUUAACCCGUUACUUGGGCCACCACGGGAUGGAGGUMAAGAAUCCCCUUUGCAGGAACUUGGAUUGGGUACACAGGGAUGACAAAAAAAAAAUCUGAUUUUAUAAACUUAAAAUGCGAUGUUGGACUACUGAACUGAAGCAUGCUCAGCUCCCCAGUGGAUGCUUAUCUUGACAGAACCACAAAAGCAGGGGGACAGCUCCAACGCACAAGAACAUACAAGAUUCAAGUGUGACAAAGAGCCUUGAAGCACAAAGGCCAUUAUGAAAGYUACAUGAUCAGGCAGAUGGAAAAACAAGCACAUGGCACUCAACAUUGUAUUUUUGGUGCAGCUAAAUUUUACCUGGAGCAGAAACGAGGCUAUAUGAAAUGUUUCCCCACUGCCAGCAUGAAACUUAGCCCGGAAACUCAGAAUAGCUUCAGCUGCAGCCAUAUCCCAUAGGAGGAGGAAACCUUUGCAAAAGGAUGUGCUUUCAGUGACAUUGCUAUUUCAAGGAAUUUUGCACAUGAUCUUCACAAAAAAAUAAUUUAGGAUGAGAUUGCAGACUGUCAAAUGUAUGUAAAACAUGCUUUGACAGAGGAAUAAAAAAAUUGAGUCAAUAAAAGGAAGAAA